rnacentral:rRNA from 1 species
AAGGUAGCAUAAUCAUUUGUUUCUUAAUUAGAGACUAGAAUGAAUGGAUUCACAAAGAAAAACUAUUUUUAUUUUUGAUUUAAAAAUUAAUCUAUGAAUGAAAAAUUUCAUAUCCUAUAAAAAGACCAAAAGACCCUAUCGAGCUUAAAUACAUUAUUUUUCCUCUUUCAAAUAUAUAUUUUAAAUUGGGGCGAUUUAAGAUAUAUUCCAUCUUCUUAAAAUCUAAACUAUAAUUAUACCUUUUAUAUACUAAAUUAAGUUACCGUAGGGAUAACAGGCUACUCAAUUUUAAAAGUUCACAUUUACAAAUUGUCUUAGCACCUCGAUGUUGGCUUAAGAUUACUCUAAAAUGCAGCAGUUUUAGAAAGUAGGCUUGUUCCGCCUUUAAUUUCUUACGUGAUCUGA